AUUCGUUGGACAGAAGUCGCCAGGCAGCAGGAGGUGCAGACUGCACGUUAGUUGGCCAGAAGCUUGCCUCGUUCAAGGUUUUCUUCUGGUCCUUCCGUACUCCUGGCAACGAUCAGACCUCGACAUCGGCCUUUUACAGCGGAUUCCCAGUCCAAAUGGGACGCCUGUAAAAACCGUCACAGAUUCUGCGACGACCCGACGUUUAGAUGACGACUCGCCUCUACCGUGAUGUUAUCUGUUGACAAUGAAUGAAAUUGCUUCUACAAGCAUAAAAAAUGAGGAUGGUGAUGGACCUCAAAAUCCAGCUUCAACAGAAGCACCGUCCUCCGAGAGGAAACUGUAUAAAGCGAACCGCAUAAAAUCUGAGCAUGAAAGGCCGAAUUCUCCUGACAGUAACUGCCCGAUUUGCCUCGGUGACUUAAUUAAUAAGUCAUUCACCAACUCGUGUUUGCAUCCAUUUUGUUUCAAUUGUCUUAAAGAAUGGGCGAAGAUAAAACCCGAGUGUCCAUUGUGCAAACAGCAGUUCACCUCUAUCAUUCAUAAUAUUCGAUCUAUAAGUGACUACGAUGAACAUCGCCUGGAACCACGGAUUCCUCUCGAUUCGUCUCACUUCUUCAUUAACUUUGCCAUUCAACAGGGACUCCUACGGGAUCGAGAACACUUGUUGUUCUUAUGGUCGCAACAUGGGUCUGUCGAUCCGACUAUCUUCCAGCAGAUGGGACUACCCCAUUUCACUUCACCUCCCACAACACCUGAGUUCAGGAGAGCCGUCUACCGUCAAGGCCUAUGGGUAAGGCCUUCAAGCAGCAAUAGGCGUAGGGAAAGUUCCCCUGAGUUUUACAGGAACAAUCCGGCCCAGACACAUAGACUUAUUCCAUGGCUUACUAGGGAGCUCAGUAUUCUACUCGAUGUUAGUAUGCCGACUCACAAUGUAUGCAGUGACAUAAUGCGCCUCAUAAACUUAUAUCCCAUCACUAGCUCGACAUUCAGAAGGUUAGUCACUUCCUACUUAGGCUCAAGGACUGACCAUUUCCUUCACGAAUUUUACAAUUUUGCCAUUGCGCCAGAAAAUGACAUGUAUGCUUAUGACUUCAAUGCUGUGUACGCUUCGCCACCUUUUGCACCUGUGAGAAGGCGUGUAAUUCCUAGACCAUUUAGGGAUUUCCUGAACCUCAGCGAAGACUCUGACAAUGAGAAUUAUGGAUCAAAUAGAACAAGCCAGCAGGCACAUUUUACUUCAACUCCUACCACCCAACAACCAAGUUCUCCGAUAGAGGUGAUAGUAGUACCUUCGGAUGAGUCUGACAUUGAAUCAUCUCGUCAUGGGGCUGAUGAUAGUAUUGAAGUGUUUAAUGAAUAUCCUUCAGGACGUUCACGAGCCGCUGAGUUUGCUUCUAAUGCAUAUGCCAGAGCACGUGCCCAAACUCUUGAGAACCGUAUGCAUCAUGCCGCACACACAGCGGAAAUGGUGAUCGUUAUAUCAGAUGAUUCAGAUUCAGAAACAGCCAUUAUUUGGAAUAAAAAAGAGCAGGAUACAACUUUAGACGACAGUGACAGCGAUGCCCAAAUCAUUGCGGAAUUGCCUCCAAGGCAUUUACGAGAACCUGAGAUUGUAAUAAUUGAUUCGACAGACAUGGAAAGUGACGGUAGUGAUAUAAAUAGGAAAAAACCUUCACCAGCUAGGUCGGAAAAACUUUAUAAAAAUAGUGAGGAAAACCAAUCAAAGUUAUUGAAGUAUCCAAAAACAUCUUCAAAGCUCCAACAGGCAGCGGAAAAUGACAUUUAUCUCAAUGCACAACCAUCUACUUCUUAUCAGAUUAAGCACUCUCACCCGAUGUCACACCAAGUGGUAAAUUACUCGGAUAGCUCGUCAGAUUCGGACAGCAAGCAUAGAGACCAAAGAAGGCUUUCUAGAAAAAUGUCACAUCGUAGAUCGAGGAGGAAAAGGCGUCACAAGUCGUACAGUAGUAGUUCCAGCACCAGCAGCACGUCAAGCAGUAGCAGUAGCCGAUCUAGCAGCAGUUCCAGGAGCUAUUCGUCUAUUUCACCUAGAUUGCCAUCACCACCGCCCUACAAAAAAAUGAAAAGUGUAGUCCAUAAGUACAUAACUCGAAAAAGGACGCCUGUGUCAGACUCUGACAGUUUUAGUGAUUAACUUACAUCACGAAUACUGAUUGAGGUUUUUAAAAAGAUAUGAAAUAAAAUUGCUAUUUUCAAGUUGAAUGAUUCAACUGAAAGCUAAGCAACUUAAGUUUUGCUUUUCAUUAAAAAAUUUUCAAUCCUCACCUUUCUGUCUAUUAAAAUUUCCUUUUGGAAAAGUGAAAUUGUGUUAAAUUUUAUUAACACCUCAUCUAGUUUUUGUUUUGUUUUUCUAGUCUUGUCUCAUGAAAGUGACAAAGUAAACUUAUAUUUGUGCCCUGCUGUCAUUAUAAUUCAAGAAAGUGAACAAAAUCUCUACGGCAGAUACUUUCAACGUGAUAGCAUGAAAAAACUUAACUCGCCUUGAUAUAUUGAUUGUACUGCUGGAAAAUGAAUUUACUUUUAAACUGAUCAACAGUUUAUCAUGUGUUGUUUAUGGUGUGUCUACUCUUGCAGGUUUAAUUUCACCCAAACAUGUUUUGACUUCACAGCAUCUUCGGAUAAAAGGAGUUGGCCUAUUUACAACCUUGAGUACCGUGUCCAAUAUUUGUCUAUUUAUCUUAACACGUCUACGUGCUAUGCUUGAACAUUUUGGAACCCUGUUUAUCGUGUUAAAUAGCUCUCUGGCGUCAUCACCUAUAAAGGAGGCUGCAUCGUCUGUGAAGGAAACAGGUAGCAAGUUAGGCUCGAAGAUGGGGGAAGGUGAGGCGUCGAAAGUCAAUUCCUCGAUGAGUGAAUCCAACGAUUUAAAUAAGAAGCUCAUCAAGCUAAAAGAGAAGCUUCCCAUUUGGCAGGUGAAGAUAUCGCAAGUUUUACAAACUGUACAAGACUAUUUGACCAACAGGGAUCAAAAGAAAUAGUCUUAAACAAUGUUUUGUUUCAAA